rnacentral:rRNA from 1 species
UGGGGAAUUUUGGACAAUGGGGGAAACCCUGAUCCAGCCAUCCCGCGUGUGCGAUGAAGGCCUUCGGGUUGUAAAGCACUUUUGGCAGGAAAGAAACGUCGCGGGUUAAUACCCCGCGAAACUGACGGUACCUGCAGAAUAAGCACCGGCUAACUACGUGCCAGCAGCCGCGGUAAUACGUAGGGUGCAAGCGUUAAUCGGAAUUACUGGGCGUAAAGCGUGCGCAGGCGGUUCGGAAAGAAAGAUGUGAAAUCCCAGAGCUUAACUUUGGAACUGCAUUUUUAACUACCGGGCUAGAGUGUGUCAGAGGGAGGUGGAAUUCCGCGUGUAGCAGUGAAAUGCGUAGAUAUGCGGAGGAACACCGAUGGCGAAGGCAGCCUCCUGGGAUAACACUGACGCUCAUGCACGAAAGCGUGGGGAGCAAACAGGAUUAGAUACCCUGGUAGUCCACGCCCUAAACGAUGUCAACUAGCUGUUGGGGCCUUCGGGCCUUGGUAGCGCAGCUAACGCGUGAAGUUGACCGCCUGGGGAGUACGGUCGCAAGAUUAAAACUUAAAAUGAAUUGACGGGGGUCAUAGCUG